rnacentral:rRNA from 1 species
UGUCUAGCGCAUGCCCCCCUGAAUGUGCCCGAUCUCGUAUGAUCUUGGUAAGCUAAGCAGGGUCAGGGCCUGGUUAGUACUUGUAUGGGGAAACCACCUAGGAAUACCAGGUGCUGUAGGCAU